CGCCGGCCCCCGGCCGCGCCGGCCCCAGCCGCGCCGCCUCCGCCCCCGGGAUGGCUCCGCCCGCGGCGGCCCGGCCGCGCUGCCUCCGCCCGCCGGGAUAGCUCCGCCCGUGGCGGUCCUAGCGGCGCCGCUGCUGGGAUGCUCCACCUGACGGGGAAAAACGGCGCUGAUAGGAGACGAAGUGGAACGCCGCCGUCCGCUCGUUUUGGAAGGACGGGGGUAUCCCGCAUAGGGAAUAUCCCCUUGUGGGGAUGGACUCAUCGCUCGUGUCUCCGAACCAAACGUGAGAUGAGGUGGGAUCGUCCCGUUCCGUCCCACCGACCAAACGCACCCUAAGGUUCACCCUUAAUUGCGUUGAUGUUUUAGCACCCUGUUUUUGUACAACUGCUGCCUUCUGAUGUCCCAUUUGCGGUACUGAGCUUAAUGAGAACCUUCUGUUGUUCUUUUCAAGUUGUUUUUCUUCACAAAUUUGGAACAGGUGGCAUUGCAUGUCCUUACACAUGAAUUAGAUCAGACAUUAAUUGUGGACAAGGUGCAAUUCAGUUCUUUUAUUGUCCCUAUAAUACGUUGACAUUAUUUUUCUUUCAGUGAAGUGCCUAAUUUUAGUUAGUCUUGUGAAUUGGGGUCUAGAUUUGUGCGUCACAAUUUGUUGAGUGCAUUUGCAUCUUUUUCACGUCACACUUCAUCAAGUUAGUGUUGAAUUAAAAUUCCAUGGGGAUGAUAAUACUAAACUGACACCUGAGUUGCAUAUCUGCAUGUGUCCACCUGUUUUGUAUCCUUUCAUUCUUGACGAUGCUCCUUUUUAAUUUAGAUAUCGUUAUUCAUUUCCAUUUCAAGUUGUCACGGGAUGAAUUGAAUUGAGAUAUGAAAUUUGUCCAUCACCAAUUUGUUGAGCGCAUUUGCAUCUUUUUCAUGUGACAAUUCAUUAGAUUAGAGUUGAAUUAAAAUUUCUUGGGGAUCGUCCUCUAGCGCUGGGAGCACACUCAUAGUUGACGCGGGUAAAGAAGUCGCGUCUCCUAUAGGUCAUCGGAGACGCAGCUUAAUUCCACGUCUCAUAAAGAUGUCUCAUUUGACGGUUUCUUACAUAGUGGCUGCACUUUGACACCCGAGCUGCAUGUCUGCAUGUUCCUGCCUGGUAUCCUUUCUUUCUUGAUGAUGCUCCCUUCUAAUGCAUAUUAUUAAGAUGUGCAAAGCACGUUUUUCAUUAAGAAGAAAGAGAAUAGUUCGAGUACAGACAUUAACCGAAAAGAAAAAAAAGACGACCCAUACAUGAUUACACAAAGAGGAGAAGAGAGAGGCCGAGGAGAGAAAGAGAAGAGCAGGGGCCUAAGAGGGUCUAACACCAAGAAACAGAGCUAGUUAUCAGAGUUACUCUUGGGAUUGUGAUUACGAGGACUGCUACUCUUGACAUGGUACCAUACAUGACAACAACAUUUGUGUCUUUCUGGAAGGUUUAUCGGAAGCUGAAAAUUUGGCAUUUAUAUCUGAAUCCACGACGUUUGUCUUUGGAAGGGAUUUGAAGCAAUGCCCCACAUUUAGCAAGCUAUGGACUUUGGUACUUAAUGAUCACUGGGACCUCAACAUAAAAUAGAAAUGAUAGGAAGAAGCAGUUCAAUGGACAGAUCAGUUGCAAUAUCAGAAAACCUCAAGGAAAUUGAAAUAAAAUGUGAAGUGGUUGAUGAGGAAGUCCACAAAGUUUUCAAGUUUCUAUGUUCGAUCAUUUAAUAUAUGUAACUCUUUCAUAUUCAAGUAGGCGGGAGAAGAUUUUGGCUUUCGACGCAUCAUCCGUCUUGACCAUUCAGAAGUGUAUGUCUGAAAUCUUCUGUGACAAGAUGUUCCGCGAGGCAGGCGAUCGAAAGAGUCAUCAAAGUGCAGAGUCCAUGGGCUGUAAAGCUCAACCAGUAUACGCGCACACAACAACUUGCAACAAAGUCCAGGCAACAAGUCGGUUCAGACCUUGGCAACUUUCACCAGCAAUUGGCUAGCUUACGAGUGAUUGGUUUUGUCUUUAGGCAUAUUGUUAUCGUGGAAAGCAUGAUGAGCAGUGAGCGAGAACCUGACGGGCGGAAUGGAGCAGUUUGCAGCGCUGACGGAACUCGAACAGUCAGCGGUCACUGCUCAGUAGUCUCGAUAGUACAGAGUUACAGACAGCGAUGAAGAAAAAUCUGCAAAUGAUCAACGUCGUGAGCUGAGCCACAAGAUCAAGUAGUCACUUUCGUGCUCUAUAUAUUCAACGUCAAGGUGGAUAGAUAUAGACGGACGCAAAUGGAACUCAAGCAGCUGAACAACGACUAUUAUAUUGUUGUUUGUCUACUCCACCGUCCUAAAUUAUUAUUCAUUUUGAUUUUUCUAAGUGCAUAGCUUUUGCUACGUAUCUAGAUAUGGCAUAUAUCUAGAUGCAUAGCAAAGUCUAUGUAUCUAAAAGAGUCAAAACGAAUAGUAAUUUGGGACGAAGGGAAUAGUAGGUAAAUCAUUUGUUAUAAUACCAAACUUAACCAAAAUCAGCAAAUCUACUCGCGGUUGUUUCA